GACGAACGCUGGCGGCGUGCCUAACGCAUGCAAGUCAACUUGACUGAAGGAGCAAUCUGACAGUAGAGUGGCGCAAGGGUGCGUAACGCGUAAGUAACUUGCCCCAAGGUAAGGAAUUACGUCGAGAAAUCGGCGCUAAUACCUCAUAAUGCAGCGGAUCCGCAUGGAUAUGUUGUUAAAGGUUUACCGCCUUGGGAUAGGCUUGCGUCUGAUUAGCUAGUUGGUGUGGUAACGGCACACCAAGGCUACGAUCAGUAACUGGUCUGAGAGGAUGAUCAGUCACACUGGAACUGAGACACGGUCCAGACUCCUACGGGAGGCAGCAGUGAGGAAUAUUGGGCAAUGCUCGAAAGAGUGACCCAGCAACGCCGCGUGGAGGAUGAAGGUAUUCUAUAUCGUAAACUCCUGUGAGAGCAGACGAAAGACAGAUUAUUAAUCUGGAUGACUGUAUGCUCAGAGGAAGCCCCGGCUAACUACG
rnacentral:rRNA from 1 species